AUUGAACGCUAGCGGCAGGCCUAACACAUGCAAGUCGAACGAGUGGCGGACGGGUGAGUGAUAUCUGGGAAACUGCCUGAUGGAGGGGGAUAACUACUGGAAACGGUAGCUAAUACCGCAUACCAUCAGAUGGGCCCAGAUGGGAUUAGCUAGUUUGUUGGGUAACGGCUCACCAAGGCGACGAUCCCUAGCUGGUCUGAGAGGAUGACCAGCCACACUGGAACGGAUAAACGGUCCAGACCACGACGGGAGGCAGCAGUGGGGAAUAGUGCACAAUGGGCGCAAGCCUGAUGCAGCCAUGCCGCGUGUAUGAAGAAGGCCUUCGGGUUGUAAAGUACUUUCAGCGGGGAGGCGUUACCCGCAGAAGAAGCACCGGCUAACUCCGUGCCAGCAGCCGCGGUAAUAC
rnacentral:rRNA from 1 species